rnacentral:rRNA from 1 species
AGAGUUUGAUCCUGGCUCAGGACGAACGCUGGCGGCGUGCCUAAUACAUGCAAGUAGAACGCUGAAGAGAGGAGCUUGCUCUUCUUGGAUGAGUUGCGAACGGGUGAGUAACGCGUAGGUAACCUGCCUUGUAGCGGGGGAUAACUAUUGGAAACGAUAGCUAAUACCGCAUAACAAUGGAUGACACAUGUCAUUUAUUUGAAAGGGGCAAUUGUUCCACUACAAGAUGGACCUGCGUUGUAUUAGCUAGUAGGUGAGGUAAUGGCUCACCUAGGCGACGAUACAUAGCCGACCUGAGAGGGUGAUCGGCCACACUGGGACUGAGACACGGCCCAGACUCCUACGGGAGGCAGCAGUAGGGAAUCUUCGGCAAUGGGGGCAACCCUGACCGAGCAACGCCGCGUGAGUGAAGAAGGUUUUCGGAUCGUAAAGCUCUGUUGUAAGUCAAGAACGGGUGUGAGAGUGGAAAGUUCACACUGUGACGGUAGCUUACCAGAAAGGGACGGCUAACUACGUGCCAGCAGCCGCGGUAAUACGUAGGUCCCGAGCGUUGUCCGGAUUUAUUGGGCGUAAAGCGAGCGCAGGCGGUUUGAUAAGUCUGAAGUUAAAGGCUGUGGCUCAACCAUAGUUCGCUUUGGAAACUGUCAAACUUGAGUGCAGAAGGGGAGAGUGGAAUUCCAUGUGUAGCGGUGAAAUGCGUAGAUAUAUGGAGGAACACCGGUGGCGAAAGCGGCUCUCUGGUCUGUAACUGACGCUGAGGCUCGAAAGCGUGGGGAGCGAACAGGAUUAGAUACCCUGGUAGUCCACGCCGUAAACGAUGAGUGCUAGGUGUUGGAUCCUUUCCGGGAUUCAGUGCCGCAGCUAACGCAUUAAGCACUCCGCCUGGGGAGUACGACCGCAAGGUUGAAACUCAAAGGAAUUGACGGGGGCCCGCACAAGCGGUGGAGCAUGUGGUUCAAUUCGAAGCAACGCGAAGAACCUUACCAGGUCUUGACAUCCCGAUGCUAUUUCUAGAGAUAGAAAGUUACUUCGGUACAUCGGUGACAGGUGGUGCAUGGUUGUCGUCAGCUCGUGUCGUGAGAUGUUGGGUUAAGUCCCGCAACGAGCGCAACCCCUAUUGUUAGUUGCCAUCAUUCAGUUGGGCACUCUAGCGAGACUGCCGGUAAUAAACAGGAGGAAGGUGGGGAUGACGUCAAAUCAUCAUGCCCCUUAUGACCUGGGCUACACACGUGCUACAAUGGUUGGUACAACGAGUUGCGAGUCGGUGACGGCGAGCUAAUCUCUUAAAGCCAAUCUCAGUUCGGAUUGUAGGCUGCAACUCGCCUACAUGAAGUCGGAAUCGCUAGUAAUCGCGGAUCAGCACGCCGCGGUGAAUACGUUCCCGGGCCUUGUACACACCGCCCGUCACACCACGAGAGUUUGUAACACCCGAAGUCGGUGAGGUAACCUUUUGGAGCCAGCCGCCUAAGGUGGGACAGAUGAUUGGGGUGAAGUCGUAACAAGGUA